UACGUAGGUGGCAAGCGUUGUCCGGAUUUAUUGGGCGUAAAGCGAGCGCAGGCGGUCUUUUAAGUCUGAUGUGAAAGCCCCCGGCUUAACCGGGGAGGGUCAUUGGAAACUGUUUGACUUGAGUGCAGAAGAGGAAAGCGGAAUUCCAUGUGUAGCGGUGAAAUGCGUAGAUAUAUGGAGGAACACCAGUGGCGAAGGCGGCUUUCUGGUCUGUAACUGACGCUGAGGCUCGAAAGCGUGGGGAGCAAACAGGAUUAGAUACCCUGGUAGUCAACGCCGGAAACGAUGAGUGCUAAGUGUUGGAGGGUUUCCGCACUUCAGUGCUGCAGCAAACGCAUUAAGCACUCCGCCUGGGGAGUACGACCGCAAGGUUGAA
rnacentral:rRNA from 1 species